UGAAGAAGUCAACAUCGAGAAGGAUUCAAUUGGGAUGGAAAAAUCUUGCUAUAAGGCGGAUUUUAGAAGACGUUUAAAAUCGCUUGUUCUAGCAGCCUACAAUUAUUGAUUUUUUUGUUGUUGUUUCUUUGUUCUGCUUUUUGGCGGGAAAAACGGACGUUGGUUUUUGUUUUUGCUUCGCCCUGUUAGAAGAGAGUGCAAUCAACCCAGGCGCGGGUGUUUGCAUUGUGGUGAGUGAGCACUGAAGGGGCAGCCGCUUGCUCUUUAUGCUCAUAAUGAAGUCCACAAUAAAGAAGAAAAGUUACGCUGACCUUUCAGACCGUCAGAAGAGGCGUAGAGUUAAUGACGAACUGAUAUCUGCCAGUCCUGUUGCCACGAGUACCGUCCAAUAAGUAUCAUGGUAGGUUAAUGAAAGUAGUAACCAUGCUUCUAGUGAAGUAUCCUCGCCACAUGAGGAUGCUCAAUCCAAGGACAGUUUUCACGAAAGUGACCUUGCCUUGAAAGGAGAAAAUGUAGAAGCACAUACGCAAGACAUUUCUAGAGAAUAUUUUGUUCCACAAAACGACCCUCCUAUGAGCGCGGGCAUCGAAAAUGGAGGUUCUUCGGACUAUGCAUCAUCAUCUGCAGAAAAUCAGGCAAGUCUUUGUCCACGUAAAUGUGUGGAAUUUCAAGGAUGGCUUGCAUCAUGGGUUACAAGUCACCGAAUUCCGCUUGUCGCAGUUUCUGAACUUCUCCGGAAACUAAGCACCACUUUCGACGUUGAUUUUGUCAUCGACGCGAGGACAUUGUUGAACAGUCCUCGAUACACUUCAACGCGAUCUGUCCCUCCUGGCGAAUAUUGCCAUUUUUCUUUGAAGGAAAAUUUAGAACGCAUGAUUGCUGUGUUCCUGAGUGGCUGUCGAGGGUAGAUCCCUUGACAACGCUCAGAGAAUUUUAAAUGACAAUGUCAGCCAAGUUGGACUGACGGUUCAAACUGUAAAAUGUUUUGAUAUUGUUUGUCGCAGUUUUCGUUUUGUCUGUUUGGUUAACCUGUUUUACUUUGACCGAAAGGAAGAAAAAGACACCGUAGUCUAGUUGCUAGAGAACCGGCUGCUGUGCCCCACGGCAGAGGUUCGAUUCCAUUAUAGGUUGCACAUCACUUUUUUGUAUUAUAAAGCGAGUUAGGAACCUACCUACCUACCGCAAAGUGCCAAGAAUGAGGCAUUAAAAAGUUCGACUUUUGUUAUUUCAAAUUAUCUUUGUAAGGUGGCGCUAGCAUUAUGGUAGCAGCCGCAUUUUGUAUUUUCUUAGUUAAAUUAGCUAGCAUUUCUGUGCUUCAGGUACCGAGUACGAAGCCACACUGAGUAUUUUUCUGCAUUGCAGCAGCGUGUGUCGCAAGAGGAUGCAGCGCCGCGACGUAUCAUAGCGGCUACCUGACAAAGCGAGGAGUGGCGCGACGGCUCAUCGGCGUCAUCGCUUGCGCCGACGCAGUCUGAGCAGCCGAGCGGACUGCGCUCUCCGCGCAGCUUCCCUCCAGAUUGCGUAACUUUUGAACCCGCCGUUACAUUCACCGUUAUUUUUGUCAGGACCAGCCGUUAAGUUCCUGACGCGUAUUCGUUCAUGAACUGCGGAGCGCCAGACUGCCUUCCACAUCUUCUUUGCUCACGCACAUACCUACGUGCAAGAGAGAAGGCGCGUGAGGGUGAAGACACCGAUCAUGUACCCUCUACAGGUGCCGAAAGGGGCAGACGAAAACGCCGCCGCCCAAAGGGCCACCACGAAACUCCUGAACUCCAAGAACCCAGUAAGAAGACCUGCUGAAUUAAGGAGCUACAGCCCAGCAGCCUGUUCGAAACCAGGUUUAUCAAGGUCGAUACCUGUAAUGGACGUUACUCGGAGGCACUCAUAUUUAAUGUUGAUUGCUAGCUUGUCUAGUCGUGUUUACUUUUUGCAAUAAAAAAUGUUAUUGCUGUA